GAUGAACGCUGGCGGCGUGCCUAAUACAUGCCAGUCGAGCGAACAGACGAGGAGCUUGCUCCUCUGACGUUAGCGGCGGACGGGUGAGUAACACGUGGAUAACCUACCUAUAAGACUGGGAUAACUUCGGGAAACCGGAGCUAAUACCGGAUAACAUGUUGAACCGCAUGGUUCAACAGUGAAAGACGGUCUUGCUGUCACUUAUAGAUGGAUCCGCGCCGCAUUAGCUAGUUGGUAAGGUAACGGCUUACCAAGGCAACGGUGCGUAGCCGACCUGAGAGGGUGAUCGGCCACACUGGAACUGAGACACGGUCCAGACUCCUACGGGAGGCAGCAGUAGGGAAUCUUCCGCAAUGGGCGAAAGCCUGACGGAGCAACGCCGCGUGAGUGAAGAAGGUCUUCGGAUCGUAAAACUCUGUUAUUAGGGAAGAACAAAUGUGUAAGUAACUAUGCACGUCUUGACGGUACCUAAUCAGAAAGCCACGGCUAACUACGUG
rnacentral:rRNA from 1 species